UCGAACGGUAGCACAGAGAGCUUGCUCUCGGGUGACGAGUGGCGGACGGGUGAGUAAUGUCUGGGAAACUGCCUGAUGGAGGGGGAUAACUACUGGAAACGGUAGCUAAUACCGCAUAACGUCGCAAGACCAAAGAGGGGGACCUUCGGGCCUCUUGCCAUCAGAUGUGCCCAGAUGGGAUUAGCUAGUAGGUGGGGUAACGGCUCACCUAGGCGACGAUCCCUAGCUGGUCUGAGAGGAUGACCAGCCACACUGGAACUGAGACACGGUCCAGACUCCUACGGGAGGCAGCAGUGGGGAAUAUUGCACAAUGGGCGCAAGCCUGAUGCAGCCAUGCCGCGUGUAUGAAGAAGGCCUUCGGGUUGUAAAGUACUUUCAGCGGGGAGGAAGGUGUUG
rnacentral:rRNA from 1 species